rnacentral:rRNA from 1 species
CUGGCGGCGUGCCUAACACAUGCAAGUCGAACGAGAAAGUGGAGCAAUCCAUGAGUAAAGUGGCGCACGGGUGAGUAACACGUGACUAACCUACCCUCGAGUGGGGAAUAACCUCGGGAAACCGGGGCUAAUACCGCAUAACAUCCACGGAUCAAAUGCGCAAGCAGCUUGGGGAGGGGGUCGCGGCUGAUUAGCUAGUUGGCGGGGUAAUGGCCCACCAAGGCAAUGAUCAGUAGCCGGCCUGAGAGGGCGCACGGCCACACUGGAACUGAAACACGGUCCAGACUCCUACGGGAGGCAGCAGUGGGGAAUUUUGCGCAAUGGGGGAAACCCUGACGCAGCAACGCCGCGUGGAGGAUGAAGCCCCUUGGGGUGUAAACUCCUUUCGACCGGGACGAUGAUGACGGUACCGGUAUAAGAAGCACCGGCUAACUCUGUGCCAGCAGCCGCGGUAAUACAGAGGGUGCAAGCGUUGUUCGGAAUUAUUGGGCGUAAAGGGUGCGUAGGCGGUGCGGUAAGUCUUCUGUGAAAUCUCCGGGCUCAACUCGGAGUCUGCAGGGGAAACUGCCGUGCUGGAGUAUGGGAAAGGUGAGUGGAA